AAUAUGCCAUGGAUGUUCCUGGCUGGUGGCUCUUCAGGUGGCUGAUAGGGUGAUCGAAUGCCUUCUAUUCUGUGACUCCACUAUCUUGAGACUGUGAUGUCACCUUGGAACUCAGUUAUCCAGCCAGUGCAGGCUACAGAAGGAGAGGGACAGGGGAAAGGGGAGAGACUGUGGAUGACUGAGCAUCUGAUAUGUAAAUGCUUUGCCAAUAGCAAGCCUUACUUAGCCUCACAGCCCUAUUGGUGAGGGCUUGUCACAUGGUCCCACCUAGCUACAAGGGGGACUGGGAAAUGUAGUCCAUGAACUUGGCAGCUAAUUCUCAGCAGGAAUCCAUACUCUGGGAGAAGAGAAAUUUGGUGAUCAGAAAAGUCAAGUGACCAGUUGUCAUUGUGUAAUAUCAGCGGAGCGUGCUGACACAGCUAAGGCAAGGGUGGCUCAGUGACGUAUCUUCUGGGAUCAUCAUCAUAUACGUGGUCCGUCUUUGACAGGCACGUCGUCACGCUGCGCGCGACUGUAUGUUAAAUGUGAACGUGUCUGACGGCUGGGAAGACAGUUACCGGGUGAAUGGUGCGCCUUACACGGCCUGGUUCCUGGUAAUUAAAGCAAUACAGUGUGCGGCGAGUCUGCCGUGUAGAGCAGGGGAGGGAAGGUUCCCCGAAGUCCUGCAGUGGAGAAAGGAAAGCUCACCCUGGCAGCCCAGUGCUUCACAAAUGAGAGGUGACUGUGAAUAUUUUUCGAGAUGCGUUAACAUCGCAGGGAACCGCACGUCUGUCAAACGCACUUGAGAAAGCGCGGCCCUGCGGACGUGCGGCUCACAGAGCACAGGUCGCAUUCCACUUUGCUCUGUUUCCUGAGGGCGGGGCAACCUCCCAGCCAUCACCCCUAGGACCAGCGCCCGCUCUGGGAAUGUGUCACACUCCUGCUCGGGUGCCCAACAAGUCAGAGCGGAUAUAAAGUGCAAAUGGAGUCCUCGUGCGUAACACCUCCCGCCCCCAGUAGGGGGUGGUAAGGGCGACUUCACCAGUGACAUCUUAAUUAGGGAGGUGGCUCUGAGAACGCGUGGGCUUUGGUGAGUCACAGCUUGCUCCGCUGUAUGACUUCAGCCAAGUUGCUUAAUUUCCCUGAGCCGCAGUUUUCCCAUCUAUAAAAUGGGAGAAGAAUCGCUUCUAAUUUCUGGGGCAGAGGAAGGGAAAGAAUUCGGGUAGAGCACUCAGAAUAAUUCAGGAGAUAAAAACUCGAGUGUUGGCGGUGUUUGUUGGCUGGUUGUGCUCAAGUCCUCCUAAAGUUGCCCUUGGGGUCUCGAUGUGUUGGUGAACUCUCCUGAGCAAUCCAACAAGGCAGCGUCACUUCUCCCAGCUUUGCUCUCAGCUCAGGGACAGAGUGCGCAGGAGUAAGCUCCCAGAGGCAGGAUUGUGUCUCUGUUACAUGCACAGACUGCAGACUCAGCCUGGGUUCCCAUCCCACCUCUGCCACCACGGUGGCCAUGUAGGGUUUGGGUGGACUCUAGGCCAAGAGAUGGGGUGGGCUGGCACCCAGCCCAUGCCCCCGUCACAAAUCCUUGAUCCUUGCAGCCUCCACAAGGAACAGGUGUCUUAUGCCAGUUCUACAAGGACUUACACAGGCCAGCUGUGGCCCUGUCUGCCGCUUAGAUCUACGGAUUUGGUUAAGUUGCAUGCUCUCACACAUUCACCUGCGAAUGGGGAAAAUAACCUGUUCCUUAUCGGGAUUGUUGUGAGGGUCCAAGGGCUUUAUCCUUAGAAGUGCUCAGAUCAGUGUCUGAAACAUGGUAAAUUCUCAAAGCCCCAGCGUUAGUAUCCAAAAGAUUAACCGGCAGCAUUUGAUCCGUAUUUGCAUAGGCCAGUUUUGCUGAUGGUCUAAUUUUAAUCCACAGUGUUUUCCAUUUUUGCAUGCUUUGUUCUGAGCUCCAACAUAAGCUGCAGAAACCCAGGCUAAGCCAUCAGAAGGGCGCAAGCCCCCUGCCAGCCGUCCUGCCUCCCUGCCCCCAGCCUUGGUGCCGACUCCUUCACCCAGGGGCUUGCAGACACAAUGCAGGUACACCCGAGUGGCCUUCUCACACCCUGCAAUGCAACAGGACGACCAGCUUCUUAUUUUCUUUUUCAGCUCAUCAUCGCCAGCGGCUUUGGACCAAUUAAAGGGAAGUCAUUUUAAUAGGCCCUGUGGAAAGGGAGCUGCUAUGUUUCUCCAGGCUGAGCCUGGAGCCCAGGGGUCAGGGCUGGAUUAAUCAGGAUGCUAUAAAUGCAAACAAUGGCCCACGUCUCUGUGGGCAACUUGCUCUGCUUUGGGAGGAAGAGAGAAAAUUGAAUUAUAAUGGGAGGAUAUAAAUUGUUUGGUUUCAGAUGAAAAUUAAGAACUUAAUGGAAUCCAAGAGGAGGGGUCUGAGGCUGGCUUAUGGCAGGGUCGUGAACCGGGCCCCCUGGCAGGGGCUUGAGCAACUCCCAUGUUCUGCCUUCCUGCUCUGACAGAUGCUGUGCCGGGGGUUCUUAUUGUUAAUCUGGGAUGAGCACUGAUCAUAUUUGUCAGAUUCUCUCUUAAAGCAAGCACGGGUGGUCCCCCACCCGAUGAGCGCACAUUAAUUAAGCACUUGCUGUGUCCCAGACUCUGACAGGCACUGGCAAUUCAGAGGAGGCAAUGGCAGCUCUGUGCCGCCCUCUGGGAGCUCCCAGAUAAUAGCGAGUGGCCAGCCAGCCAGCGAUGCUAAUGUGCUGUGGCUUGCAGUGCACCUGGCCUGGUGCUGGAGCGCCUCAGUGACACUCACUCCCUUCUUCUCAUGGCACUUCUCCACCCAUCGCCGGCAGGCAAACAUAGCUGUGUGAUGCCCAUUGUGCAGGUGAGGAAGCCGAGCCUCACAGACGUGAGGGGCCAUGUGGGCAAACGCAUUGCAGAGCCACGAUUCAAACAAACCCAGGGGUUUGUGCUUUCAAAAACCAACUUCUCAUCCACUGUGCAGACAGAGCUGUUCUCAUAGAACACGGCCUGGGAGGAUUAUGAGUGUGUGUGUGUGGACAUGUGUGCACAUGUGCAGGCCAGUGGCUCUCUGUCAACCUGAUAAGCAUUCCUGGAGGAUUUCCAGGAGGAGGUGCUGUAAGUCUUUCUUUCUUUCUUUCUUUCUUUCUUUCUUUCUUUCUUUCUUUCUUUCUUUCUUUCUUUCUUUCUUUCUAGCAGAGGUGAGAAUGAUCAUAUCUUCAACAACCCAAUAUAAUACACAAGUGCUACCUCAACUUCUACGUGAGCAGAGGUUGCAAGGAUUGAAUAUAAAAAUGUAAUCUACACCCUCUGCUAGUGGAGGGCUGAAAACUGGGUUUCCCCAAUAAUCAUUAGUGACUGCCACAGACCUGAUGCCAAGGGCCAAACUCGAGGCAGAGACCACGUGAUAGAGAUGGCAGAAGCAGGAACUGAGUGGGCAGGAAGGUGGCUGAGAAGGCUCUCAGGGAUCCCACUGGGGUGGAGAGAUUCAGACGGAGAACCAGAAGGUUCCAGGGUGAGUGCGCCUAAAGGGCUGGGGCCCAGUCUUUCACAUGAUGAGGCCCCCAGCGCUUAGCAGAGCGCCAGUGCGUGUUUGUGAAUGGGUGGAUGUCGGAUCCCAUGGAGAGGAAAGACAAGUGGCUGGGGAGCCAGCAGGGACCGAGGGACUGUGAGUGAUAGGAACCCCAGCCCCGAGCCUCUCACCAGCUCACCAAGGCAGGUUAACCAACUUGGGCCCCGCCAGCCAGGUCCACUGCUUUCUGUUUUAGCUUUUCUGAUUUUCUUGGGCUCACCACCUUGUCUGAUGGCCAAGCCAGGGGACUUUGCUCAGGGGAACAACAGGAGAAAAGAUGGAGGAAGUUUGCUAGGGGCAGAUGGAGGAAGCCUUGAAUGCCUGACCAAAAAUCUGUAGUAUUUUUCCUCUGGACAAGAGGCAGCAGUUAAGUCUGAACAUUCAAGGUAGCAGGAGGCAAAUGAUUUUAGAUUUUCAGGAAGUGACUCUCACGUUUAAAAUGUGCAAACUCUUUGAUCCAGAACUUUGAUUUGUCCAAAACAUUUCGCUGCAAAACCAAAAUGACCCUAAAUCGCGUCCAAAGAUCCUGCAGGGCCGGCGUCGGGGACUGAGAAAACUGGCACGCAGCGCCCUCUAGCGGCACCUGGGGCACGGGCCGGACUGCCAGGCACCCUGACUCCUUGCGUUUUCUCUUCCUGCUCGCACUCAGGGUCUCCGCAAGGUCUGCUCCCUCUCCCCAUCUCUUCACAGGGCCCAAUUCUUCCUGUUGUUGCUCCCAAUGCCCGCUUCUCAAUGAGAGCACCCUGACUGUCCUAUGUCAAUUUUCCUCCACCACCCAGUGGGGCCAGUUCCUGUCCCAUUGGAACCUUGCUAAACGUAGCCCUGUGCGCUUGAGACGUCAGAGCACUUAGGCUGCGGCUGUGUGGUCCCGAGGCCUGAAGUCAGAAGAGAUGGGCUCACAUCCCGAAUAUGGCUCCAUCUCGCCCUCCGGGACACAGCCCUCGUCUGCACUGAGUCUUAGCCUCUCCAUCUGCUGGCGGAGGCUGUGUAGCUGGGUUGCAAAGACCAAGCGGCGAACUCACAUAAGGGCUUCUCCCAAAUCGGAAAGCACCUCCCACUAGGAAUGAAGGCGCCAGUGUGAAUGACGGGAGAGAGGCGGAUGGGGACAGACAGGUGGGGACGCUUCCUGGAGCGCAGGGCUUGAUUCGCUUCUCCAUCCCCGGGUUCUGGAAUGGAUGCAGGGGAAGAAGAGGCAAUCGGGGAGAUGCCUUGUGGCAUUUCUUGAAGGCGUUUGACAACCUCGAUAGCUCACGCUGGAUAGCUCAUUCAGUCGUCACUGCAGUCCUCCUUAGCGACCCCACGUUACAGGGGCAAACUGAGGUCCAGCGAGACUCCGUGAUUUGCCCACAUUCACUAAGUGUUUUAAGCCAGGUUUGACCAAGAAGUCUACACCCCAGCCCUUGAAUUAUUUAUUUUUAAAGUUAAUGCUAAAACGUGUCACAGUAUCUUCUAAAAGGAGCUUCCUUUCUUUGCCACUGAGGUUCCACCUCUGAGAAUUGAGUAGGGACAGAUGCAUGCAGGGAUGCGGGCUUGUGCAGCACGUGGGCCGAGGUAGUGGCACAGUGGGUUAAACCAACGCCUGUGACACUGGCAUCCCGUGUGAGAUCACCGCUGCUCUACUUCAGACCCAGCUCCCUGCUCAUGUGCCUAGGAAAGCAGCCGAAGAUGGCCCAAGUGCUUGAGUCACUGCCACCUGCACGGGAGACCAGGAUGGAGUCUCUGGCUAUUGGUUUUGGCCUUGCCUAUACCUAGCUGUUGUACUCAUUGGUGAGUGAACCAGUGGAUGGAAGAUCUCUCUCCUCUCUCUUUUCUCUUUCUUCCUUUAGAAUAAAUACAUAAAUCUUACAAAAAAUAGAAUGUGGAAAAAUUUCCACUGAGGAGGUAGCUUAAAUAAAUUGGGGGGGGUGGCACUGUGGCUCAGCGGGUUAACGCCCUGGCCUAACUGCGCUGGCAUCCCAUAUGGGCGCCAGUUCAAGACCCAGCUGCUCCACUUCCGAUCUAGCUCCCUGCUAUG